rnacentral:rRNA from 1 species
CAGUAGCCACGGUAAUACGAAGGGGGCUAGCGUUGUUCGGAUUUACUGGGCGUAAAGCGCACGUAGGCGGAUCGAUCAGUCAGGGGUGAAAUCCCAGAGCUCAACUCUGGAACUGCCUUUGAUACUGUCGAUCUGGAGUAUGGAAGAGGUGAGUGGAAUUCCAAGUGUAGAGGUGAAAUUCGUAGAUAUUCGGAGGAACACCAGUGGCGAAGGCGGCUCACUGGUCCAUUACUGACGCUGAGGUGCGAAAGCGUGGGGAGCAAACAGGAUUAGAUACCCCUGUAGUCCCUGUCUCUUAUAC